GGGGGGCUGGCGCAACGGUAGCGCGUUAGAUUCCAGCGAUGGAUCUUCAAGACGAAGUUGAAGAAAUCGUGACUCCUAAAGGUUAUCAGUUCAAAUCUGGUGUCCCUCA
rnacentral:tRNA from 1 species